AUUGAACGCUGGCGGCAGGCCUAACACAUGCAAGUCGAGCGGAUGAAGGGAGCUUGCUCCUGGAUUCAGCGGCGGACGGGUGAGUAAUGCCUAGGAAUCUGCCUAGUAGUGGGGGAUAACGUCCGGAAACGGGCGCUAAUACCGCAUACGUCCUGAGGGAGAAAGUGGGGGAUAUUCGGACCUCACGCUAUCAGAUGAGCCUAGGUCGGAUUAGCUAGUUGGUGGGGUAAAGGCCUACCAAGGCGACGAUCCGUAACUGGUCUGAGAGGAUGAUCAGUCACACUGGAACUGAGACACGGUCCAGACUCCUACGGGAGGCAGCAGUGGGGAAUAUUGGACAAAGGGCGAAAGCCUGAUCCAGCCAUGCCGCGUGUGUGAAGAAGGUCUUCGGAUUGUAAAGCACUUUAAGUUGGGAGGAAGGGCAGUAAGUUAAUACCUUGCUGUUUUGACGUUACCAACAGAAUAAGCACCGGCUAACUUCGUG
rnacentral:rRNA from 1 species